CUUUUUUCCUUUUCUGUUUUAGGACCAAGCUGCUCAUUUGACAGAUAAAGUGAAAGCACUGCUUGCUACUUACAAUUCUGUGAUCACCACCCUUUCUAAACAGUUUGUUGUUUGGGACCAAAUGCUUACCGAUCUGGAAAUCCAGGCAAAACCAGUAAAGAAAGCUGAUUGAAAUAUUAAAAUUGGGAAAACGUUUUUUUUUUAAAUUUUUUUUUUUGCAUUUUCUUUUUCUGCACUUAAAGCUUAUCUGUGUAUAUGUGUUUUUGAGAGAGAGAGAGAGAUGAUGAAAAUUAAGAGACUUGAUAAAAAGUAGUGAGGUACCGAGAGAGAGAGAGAGAGAGAGAGAGAGAGAGAGAGAGAGACAGAGAGAGAGAGAGAGAGAAAUAAAGAAGGAACAAGGGGAAAGAGAGCUAACAGAAAGGAAGAGUAAAACUAAAAGAGAGAGAGAGAGAGAUGGGGAAAAAGUUUCAUAGUAAGUGUUAAAAGUAUUUAAGAGAUUUACAAUAAGAAAUUAUGAAUGGGACUUGUGAAAGAAAGAAAGAAAGAGAGAGAGAGAGAGGAAGACAGAGAGAGAGAGCUAUGUAAUUAUUUAAUAUCUCAUAUCAUUAGGCUGAAAUAAUAGACUACUUUCGUUAACUUUGUUGAGUUUCCUUUUAAAAUGAAAGCUCUAAAACUGGCACCAAUAUUGCACCAGCUUCAUUAUACAUUUAUUACUGUUCUUAUGAUAUAAGGUAACAGUGGCAGAUUAACAGAUUCUGGACAAAAUGCCAUCCAGUAUAUCUUGCUGCGCUGAGGUCCACUUUGCCUCUCGUCCCUUCGGUGGUUGAUGAAAUAAAGUACCAGCCGAGUACUGAUGGUGGGGGUUACUGUAACUGACUUCCCCACUCCCUCCUCCAAAUUUCAGGCCUCAUGCCUAUGUUAGAAAUUAUUACUUAGAGCAGUCACUUGCUUACGAGCAUUGGCCAUUGACACAAUUUUCUUGGACAGUCCUACCCCAGGUCUUGUUGGGUUUAGUGUUGUCAUUGAUGCUUCUGUUACUACUUUUUGUUUUCAGGUAAAGGUGUUGGCCCUAUGCAAACCCAUUUUUACCUGUGCAAAGAGAUGGUCCCUCUUAGUCUGCCCUCUGUCCUUUGACCUGUCCAGCAUGGGAGGCCCUAUCAGGAACUUGUGCACUGCUGGCAUAGUGCUCAGUGUCAUUGAGGCAUACAAGCCUCCACGCAACAAACAAGGACUGGACCUUGUAAUGGAUGAAGAGCAGUGGAUCGAUAGAACCAUUACAGCAUUGGAGAAAUUACCUUGUGGUAUUUGUUCCAGCCUUAUAUAUACCAAGUUCAACUCCCACUAAGGUCAGCUUUUCCUUUCAUCAUUUCAGAUUAAAUUUAAAAAAUUAAAUAUUAGUCAAGUACAGUGGGGAUCGAUUGAACUGAGUAACCCCUCCUGCCAUCAAAAUUGCUGGCAUUGUGCCUAGAUUAGAAUCUAUUAUUAUUAUUGUUAUUCAUUCGGGGUUGAUAAAUCAAGUACCAGGGAAACAAUGGGAUCGAUGUAAUUGACUGGUCCCCUUGGAUUUGUAUUGUCUUUGCUGCAAAUAAAGAAAAGAUUACUAUUCUUAUAUUAUGUCCACAAAAGGUGGAAGUAAAUUAUUAUUUGUACUGUGGAAUAAAUAUGUUAAAGCUUUUA
rnacentral:lncRNA from 1 species